rnacentral:rRNA from 1 species
GUGAGGAAUAUUGGUCAAUGGACGAGAGUCUGAACCAGCCAAGUCGCGUGAAGGAAGACGGUUCUAUGAAUUGUAAACUUCUUUUGUGCAGGAAUAAAGUGGGUUACGUGUAACCUUUUGUAUGUACUGUACGAAUAAGGAUCGGCUAACUCCGUGCCAGCAGCCGCGGUAAUACGGAGGAUCCGAGCGUUAUCCGGAUUUAUUGGGUUUAAAGGGUGCGUAGGUGGAUUGAUAAGUCAGCGGUGAAAGUUUGCAGCUUAACUGUAAAAUUGCCGUUGAAACUGUCGGUCUUGAGUGCAAAUGAGGUAGGCGGAAUGUGUUGUGUAACGGUGAAAUGCUUAGAUAUAACACAGAACUCCGAUUGCGAAGGCAGCUUACUGGGAUGCAACUGACACUGAUGCACGAAAGCGUGGGUAUCAAACAGGAUUAGAAACCCUUGUAGUCC